CCUUCACUUCACUCUACUGCAGGGUGGGAGAUGCAACAAUGGCCUUGAGAACAGCAGGAAGUGUGUUGGUGGUCUUUCUCUGGUCUGUAGCAGUGGUACUGGGA